CUUGCAUGAUCAAGGACAUCACCUACACAGAUCCAACUUGGAAGGACAAAUAAUUCAUCUUUGUCCCACCAGCAAGGUAGAGGUUUGAGAUUGAUUCCCAUCAAUGGUCAUCCAAAAGCUGUGCAGCCAUUCCACCAUACUAUCCGCUAACACCUGGCUUACUCCUCCACUUCUCCAUCCUUUGAUAUGAGUAAGGUUCUCAAUACCAACUGACCUAAUAAGUGCAGGUUUGUAGCACUGUGGGAUAGGUAAGUAUCACCACCAGAGAAAGUACUUAUAUGCCUUUGACAUACUUUCUUAAUUAAGAUUUAUAUAUUGUUAGUAGCCACAGAGCUAAAUUCCAUCAUAAAUCUGAUGCCACAAAUAUACUUCCACCACAAUGGCACAGAUGCAGGAAAAGUACAAUGUCUACAAGAUCCUAUGCCCAGACAUAUAUCAUCUGGAAUAUUGUCAUCUAAGUACUUACUGGUGGUUAUUUGUUGUUUUUGUUCUAAGUUUGAAAAAAAAAAAAAAAAAAAC